GACGAACGCUGGCGGCGUGCUUAACACAUGCGAAUCGUACGGUAAGGCCCUUUCGGGGGUCCACGAGUGGCGAACGGGUGAGUAACACGUGAGUAACCUGCCCACAACUUUGGGAUAACGCUAGGAAACUGGUGCUAAUACUGGAUAUGUGCUCCUGCUGCAUGGUGGGGGUUGGAAAGCUCCGGCGGUUGUGGAUGGACUCGCGGCCUAUCAGCUUGUUGGUGGGGUAGUGGCCUACCAAGGCGGCGACGGGUAGCCGGCCUGAGAGGGUGACCGGCCACAUUGGGACUGAGAUACGGCCCAGACUCCUACGGGAGGCAGCAGUGGGGAAUAUUGCACAAUGGGCGCAAGCCUGAUGCAGCAACGCCGCGUGCGGGAUGACGGCCUUCGGGUUGUAAACCGCUUUCAGCAGGGACGAAGCUUUUUGUGACGGUACCUGCAGAAGAAGCACCGGCUAACUACGUG
rnacentral:rRNA from 1 species